rnacentral:rRNA from 1 species
UACGGGGGGUGCGAGCGUUGUCCGGAAUCACUGGGCGUAAAGGGCGCGUAGGUGGUUUGAUAAGGGUGUGGUGAAAGUCCGGGGCUCAACCCCGGAUCUGCCGUGCCGACUGUCAAACUCGAGGGCUGUAGAGGCAGACGGAAUUCCGGGUGUAGCGGUGGAAUGCGUAGAGAUCCGGAGGAAGACCGGUGGCGAAGGCGGUCUGCUGGGCAGUUUCUGACACUGAUGCGCGACAGCGUGGGUAGCAAACAGG